GUGUUUUUGCCCCUUGUGGUCUGUACGGAAACGGAAGUAGCUGUCUCCUCUGACCCCUUUCCUUAAGCUUUUGCUUCCGGGGUCGGAAAGUUCUUAAAGGAAAAUGUAUAGUUUCGUGAGCUUUAAGCGUUUAAGGUGCUGAAGUUUAGACGAGGAGAGCUUAGGAGGUUUACGCCAGCUGUGUGAACAGUGAAAUGAUGAGUUGGUGGAAUCCAUUACUGAGUGUUUUCCAUGUGCCGAUCCUGUAAAACAUAUGAACAAAACCACCUUUGCCAUAAAGCGUUUACGUUCUACUAGAGAGAAAAUAAAAUGAGCUCACAAAUAGUGUAGUAACUAUUAACUAAUGCACGGUAUGGGAAAAAAUAGAACAGAAUAAAAGAAGAUGAGGAGAGGCUAGAGGGGCAGAUUGCACCUUUUAAAUAGAAUUCACAGAGUAGACUUCAUUGGAAAAGUUCCAUUGAGCAGAGAUGUUAAGGAGGCAAUGGGGUAAACCAUGCAGUUGAGGGGUUGGGGGACAGAGCUGGUAAUCUGAGAAAAGUUGGUUAUCUGGGAGAAGAGAUGUCCAGGCAAAGGAAACAUACAGCUAGCUCCAAGGCUCCUAGUCAGUAGCAAGCCUGGCAUGUUCAGGAAACACCGUGGAAGCCAGGAGUCAAAUGAGAAAGGAGAAAAGUAAGGGCAGGCGGGGGUGGGGGUGGGAUUAGGUAUGACAGAUUGUGUAGGUUUUUGUAAGGACUUUGGCUUUUACGUGAGAUGCAGGUUUCUUGGAGGAUUUUGAGAAAAGGAAUAGCGUGACCUGACUUAUGUUUUGAAAGCAUCACUCAGACUCUUCUUUUGAGAAUAGACUACAGGGGAGGGAAAGUGAAUGGAGGGGAGAAGUGAAUGUCUUCAACCAGGGUGGUUCUAGUGGAGGUGGUAAAAUGUGAUGAGAUUCUUUUGGAAGGUAGAGUUCCGAACGAUUGAAUAAAAAGCAUGAGAGAAAGAAGAGUCAAGGAUGACGCCAAGAUUUUUGAACUAAGUGCCUAGAAGGAUGGAGUUACUAUCAGUUGAGAUGGGAAAGGCUUCAGGUGGAGCAAAUUUGAAGGGUCUAAGAGAGUAAGCUAAGCAUUGUGGAGAAAAACAAAGACAUCAUGUUUGCCCUCAAGUAGCUUCAGUUUAGAAGAAGAUGAAGCACAAUUGUAGUGCCCAUAGAGCUGACUUGAAGUAUGAUCCAUGGAUCAGCAGCAAUGGCAACAUCUGGAAGCUUGAUGGAAAUGCAGAAUCUCGGGGUCCACACCCAGACCAACUGAAAGAUUCCCAGUGUAUGUCCAGGAACAAAGCACCUGACAGUGCAAUGUGGAUCCUUAAAAAGAGGCAGAAGCAUGAAGUUUGAAGCAGUGAAUAUAUUUCUUGUGUGCCUUCUCAUUGCUGGCUGCUGUGUUAGGUGUCAGGAAUACAAAGAGCACUGUGGCUGCAGUAUGGGGAGGGCCGAGAGUGCUGGAAGCAGAGAGGAGUCUCUGGGACUGAUUGUGGAGCCAAGUGACUGAAGGGACUGAAUUCAGUGGAGAUAUAAACAGGAAACUUGGAGCUUUGCCGCAAGGAGAAAGUGGAAACAAAGAAGAAGGAAUAGGUACCAAAAGGAGAAAAGGCCAAUAAAGGGAACUGGAGAGAAGAGUGAAAACUUGAAAGAGAAAGAACCAAAACUCUUGAAAUAUU